UACGGAGGGUGCAAGCGUUAUCCGGAUUCACUGGGUUUAAAGGGUGCGUAGGCGGACCAAUAAGUCAGUGGUGAAAUCUCCUUGCUUAACAAGGAAACUGCCAUUGAUACUGUAGGUCUUGAGUACAGUUGCCGUUGGCGGAAUAUGACAUGUAGUGGUGAAAUACUUAGAUAUGUCAUAGAACACCGAUUGCGAAGGCAGCUAACGAAGCUGUAACUGACGCUGAGGCUCGAAAGUGCGGGGAUCAAACAGG
rnacentral:rRNA from 1 species